rnacentral:misc_RNA from 1 species
GAUGAAGAACGUAGCGAAAUGCGAUAAGUAAUGUGAAUUGCAGAAUUCAGUGAAUCAUCGAGUCUUUGAACGCACAUUGCGCCCCCUGGUAUUCCGGGGGGCAUGCCUGUCCGAGCGUCAUUGCUGCCCUCAAGCACGGCUUGUGUGUUGGGCCCCCGUCCCCGGUUCUCCCCGGGGACGGGCCCGAAAGGCAGCGGCGGCACCGCGUCCGAUCCUCGAGCGUAUGGGGCUUUGUCACCCGCUCUGUAGGCCCGGCCGGCGCCAGCCGACACCCCAACUUUAUUUUCUAAGGUUGACCUCGGAUCAGGUAGUGAUACCCGCUGAACUUAAGCAUAUCAAUAAGCGGGA